rnacentral:rRNA from 1 species
GACGAACGCUGGCGGCGUGCUUAACACAUGCAAGUCGAACGGAAAGGCCCUGCUUUUGUGGGGUGCUCGAGUGGCGAACGGGUGAGUAACACGUGAGUAACCUGCCCUUGACUUUGGGAUAACUUCAGGAAACUGGGGCUAAUACCGGAUAGGAGCUCCUGCUGCAUGGUGGGGGUUGGAAAGUUUCGGCGGUUGGGGAUGGACUCGCGGAUUAUCAGCUUGUUGGUUGGGUAGUGGCUUACCAAGGCUUUGACGGGUAGCCGGCCUGCGAGGGUGACCGGCCACAUUGGGACUGAGAUACGGCCCAGACUCCUACGGGAGGCAGCAGUGGGGAAUAUUGCACAAUGGGCGGAAGCCUGAUGCAGCAACGCCGCGUGCGGGAUGACGGCCUUCGGGUUGUAAACCGCUUUCGCCUGUGACGAAGCGUGAGUGACGGUAAUGGGUAAAGAAGCACCGGCUAACUACGUG